rnacentral:rRNA from 1 species
GGGGAAUAUUGGACAAUGGGCGCAAGCCUGAUCCAGCCAUGCCGCGUGAGUGAUGACGGCCUUAGGGUUGUAAAGCUCUUUUACCUGGGAAGAUAGUGACGGUACCAGGAGAAUAAGCCCCGGCUAACUUCGUGCCAGCAGCCGCGGUAAUACGAAGGGGGCUAGCGUUGUUCGGAUUUACUGGGCGUAAAGGGCGCGUAGGCGGGCGAUUAAGUCAGGGGUGAAAUCCCAAGGCUCAACCUUGGAACUGCCUUUGAUACUGGUUGUCUUGAGUCCGGGAGAGGUGAGUGGAACUGCGAGUGUAGAGGUGAAAUUCGUAGAUAUUCGCAAGAACACCAGUGGCGAAGGCGGCUCACUGGCCCGGAACUGACGCUGAGGCGCGAAAGCGUGGGGAGCAAACA